GAAUAUUGGACAAUGCCCGCAAGGGUGAUCCAGCCAUGCCGCGUGCAGGAAGACGGCCCUAUGGGUUGUAAACUGCUUUUACACCGGAGAAAACCCCCCUACGUGUAGGGGGCUGAUAGUAUGGUGAGAAUAAGCAUCGGCUAACUUCGUGCCAGCAGCCGCGGUAAGACGAAUGAUGCAAGCGUUAUACGGAUUCAUUGGGUUUAAAGGGAGCGUAGGUGGCCUUAUAAGUCAGUGGUGAAAUCUCUGGGCUUAACCCAGAAAUUGCCAUUGAUACUGUAGGGCUUGAGUAUAGUUGCCGUUGGCGGAAUAUGACAUGUAGUGGUGAAAUACAUAGAGAUGUCAUAGAACACCGAUUGCGAAGGCAGCUGACGAAACUAUAACUGACACUGAGGCUCGAAAGUGUGGGGAUCAAACAGG
rnacentral:rRNA from 1 species